UAUGCCCUUUACUUUCCAAGCAUUGUUCGAGCAUGGAGGUAAAAAACUCUCCUCUUUUAUCUCCUAUUAUGUUCAGUUCACAAGUAAUUUCUUUUUAUAUUUGAUUGAACAAUUCUGCUAUGAGAUACUACUUGUGCUUACAAAAAAAAUUUGCUCUUUGAAAAGAGGUAUGAGAGUUAAUUGAUUGCAGCUUGUCUCUACCUUUUCGGUAGCUUUGUAAUCAUGUCUUAGGCUUGAUAGUUGUUUUGAUAGAGCUUAAUUUUGUUGUCAUUUGUGUGUUGCUCUAACUAUGGGGUUGUUAGUGAUUGAGUCACUUUGGCAUUGUAAUCAUGUGUUUGUAUGGUUUGAAGUGUUGCAUUGUAACUAUUUGGUAUACCUUAUCUCUCUUUCAUUAAUAAAUUAUUCUUUGGCUUUUAAAAAAGAAUUUGUUCUGUUAUGAGUUCAUUUAUUUGAUCUUCUUAGAAAAGAAAUGCAUUAUGUUAUGUUUUAAAAUACCAAUCUUGUGGAAUUAUACCAUCAACUAAGUCAAAUUGUACAACUUAGUUCGUUUUUUUAAGUAUCCUAAUAUAUACUUAUGUUUUUCCAGGUAACCGAAUAAGAAGAGUCAAGCGAUGAUAGGCGUUUUGAGUCUAGCUAACACUAAUUAAGGAUUAUGAAGCAACAUCACAUAUUUUGUGAACUUAUUUUGACGUAAUGUUAUGUUUAACCACUAGUAAUAUUUAUGUUUUAGUUUUUGAAUCUUUGAACUACAUUAGUUUCUUUCGUUUGAAACUUCAAGUACUUUAAUUAAAUUUUUGAUGUAUGGAUCUUGUCGCUAUUGAAUGAAUUAAAU
rnacentral:lncRNA from 1 species